UACAGAGGGUGCGAGCGUUAGUCGGAAUUACUGGGCGUAAAGCGUGCGUAGACGGUUAUUUAAGUCGGAUGUGAAAGCCCCGGGCUCAACCUGGGAAUUGCAUUCGAGACUGAAUAGCUAGGGUACGGUAGAGGGAAGUGGAAUUUCCGGUGUAGCGGUGAAAUGCGUAGAUAUCGGAAGGAACAUCAGUGGCGAAAGCGACUUCCUGGACCAGUACCGACGUUCAGGCACGAAAGCGUGGGGAGCAAACAGG
rnacentral:rRNA from 1 species